GGCCUGUGUGAUUGAGUUUCUGCAGAUACUCUGGGCAGUUGUGAGAUUCCUAGAUCAGAGUGGAUUUUCUACAAUGAAAAUUUCUUUGGGUUUUCGUCGUUAUGUCCCUGUGUAUGUGUUUGGAUCUGUUGGUGUUGUUUUAAUCAGCUCUGUUGCUCUGAUAACUGAACUGACACUGAAAACAGUUAAUGGUGAGCGUGCACUGAUAGAUCUGAGAUUCAUUGUCUUUCCAUCUGAAUGUUUCUUCAUCUUGUCUGUCAUGAUUUUAGGACAUUUUGGAU